rnacentral:rRNA from 1 species
AAUCAACGCUGGCGGCGUGCCUAACACAUGCAAGUCGAACGAGAAAGUGGAGCAAUCCAUGAGUACAGUGGCGACCGGGUGAGUAACACGUGACUAACCUACCCUAGAGUGGGGGAUAACCCCGGGAAACCGGGGCUAAUACCGCAUGACAUCGCGAGGGGAAGAUCCUUGCGAUCAAAGGAGUAAUCCGCUCAAGGAGGGGGUCGCGGCUGAUUAGUUAGUUGGUAGGGUAACGGCCUACCAAGACGAAGAUCAGUAGCCGGCCUGAGAGGGCGCACGGCCACACUGGAACUGAAACACGGUCCCGACUCCUACGGGAGGCAGCAGUGGGGAAUUUUGCGCAAUGGGGGAAACCCUGACGCAGCAACGCCGCGUGGAGGAUGAAGUCCCUUGGGAUGUAAACUCCUUUCGAUCGGGACGAUUAUGACGGUACCGGAAGAGGAAGCACCGGCUAACUCUGUGCCAGCAGCCGCCGUAA